rnacentral:tRNA from 1 species
GGAUUGUGGCUCAGCGGUAGAGCGCUCGUCUAGCACGUGUGAAGCCUUGGGUUCGAACCUCAGCACCA